UACGAAGGGGGCUAGCGUUGUUCGGAUUUACUGGGCGUAAAGCGCGUGUAGGCGGAUUUGUAAGUUGGGGGUGAAAUCCCGAGGCUCAACCUCGGAACUGCCUCCAAAACUACAAGUCUGGAGCAAGAUAGAGGCAAGUGGAAUUGCGAGUGUAGAGGUGAAAUUCGUAGAUAUUCGCAGGAACACCAGUGGCGAAGGCGGUUCUCUGGGCCUUACCUGACGCUGAGGAGCGAAAGCGUGGGGAGCGAACAGG
rnacentral:rRNA from 1 species